rnacentral:pre_miRNA from 1 species
AUUCUUCUCCCUCCGUUGCCAAUACAUGCCUUCUAUUUGUCAAAAUAUAUAUGUAUCUAGACAUGUCUUAGUAUAUAGGUACAUCCAUUUUUGGACAAAUGGAAGUCAAGUAUUUUGGAACGGAGGGAGUACACA